UACGUAGGGGGCAAGCGUUGUCCGGAUUUACUGGGCGUAAAGAGCGUGUAGGCGGCCACGCAGGUCCGUUGUGAAAACUGGAGGCUCAACCUCCAGACGUCGACGGAAACCGUAUGGCUAGAGUCCGGAAGAGGAGAGUGGAAUUCCUGGUGUAGCGGUGAAAUGCGCAGAUAUCAGGAAGAACACCCGUGGCGAAGGCGGCUCUCUGGGACGGUACUGACGCUGAGACGCGAAAGCGUGGGGAGCGAACAGG
rnacentral:rRNA from 1 species